AUAUUUACCCUGCAGGGCAGGCACAAUGGUUGCAAAGGUAGUUUUCCUAGGAUGAGACUUGUCCAUUGUGCUCCAUAUGGUCUUUCCUCAAAUGUGGGAAAUUCAACUGCAUAAUUUGUGACAGUUGGAGACUGUAUUUGCCUUCUUUGG
rnacentral:snRNA from 1 species